GAUGAACGCUAGCCACAGGCUUAACACAUGCAAGUCGCGGGGCAGCAUGGGGGUUGCUUGCAAUCCCCGAUGGCGACCGGCGCACGGGUGAGUAACGCGUAUCCAACCUGCCCUUCACCACGGGAUAACCCGGCGAAAGUCGGACUAAUACCGUAUGUUGUCCAUUGACGGCAUCCGAUUUGGACGAAAGGUUUGGCGGUGAAGGAUGGGGAUGCGUCCGAUUAGCUGGACGGCGGGGUGACGGCCCACCGUGGCGACGAUCGGUAGGGGUUCUGAGAGGAAGGUCCCCCAUACUGGAACUGAGACACGGUCCAGACUCCUACGGGAGGCAGCAGUGAGGAAUAUUGGUCAAUGGGCGUAAGCCUGAACCAGCCAAGUAGCGUGCAGGAUGACGGCCCUAUGGGUUGUAAACUGCUUUUAUGCGGGGAUAAAGUGGCCCACGUGUGGGUUUUUGCAGGUACCGCAUGAAUAAGGACCGGCUAAUUCCGUG
rnacentral:rRNA from 1 species